GAAUACUUGAUUUGCAUCCCA
rnacentral:misc_RNA from 1 species